GGAAAAAGCUUCAAUGAUACAGUCAUAAAUGAUCCAGCAAAAAUUAUCUAUUGGGUCAAGACAGAGAAAGAAAGAGGAGUGGUAGAGGUCUUUAACAGUGGGAGGUAAACAAAGGUCAGACGGGGGGCCCACAAGAUUGGGUAAUGGGAGCACAUACAAAUCACUAAAACCUGAUCAUGGGCACCAACCAAUGAAGUGAUUAUCAGGAAUACUUGAAAUUUAAUAAGCUUCUAGCACAUAAUACAGCCAACAUGUACAAACCAUGUACCAGUCAUCAGUUGAUAACUUUAAUUGUUCCAGUAAUCUGAAAUCAUGGAAAACAAACAGACUUCUUCAUGAACUUUAAUACUGUACUGUGUAACAAUUUCAGAUCGAUA